CGGGCGGAUGGCGGCUGCGCUAGAGAAACUCACAAAGGAAGCAGACAGCUUGGCAGAAUACCAGAAACUAAUGAAAAAGCAUGAUAUUGCUUUGACCCAGUUAAACAAGAGUUUUGACCAGGUUCAAUCAAGACUGGAACGGAUAGCAGCUGUGAAGCCAAGUAAUGAAUUUUUGAGCCAGUAGCAGAGAAUGACCUGAGUUUUUCAUAUGUACUGCACUCCUGUGUACUACACAAAGCAGUUGUAGAACACAAGUGUACAAGAAACAUCAGGACAGUUCAUGUCUGAGUAGAAAGUGGGCAAAAAGUAACUAUUUACAAAAGCAGCAUGUAUAUUACAUUCAUUGGGAUGAUUUUCAGAAUUUAAUUUUUCAUCGUGUUCAUGCCCAUGAAGUCAUGCCCUUACCAAGACUGAAAGCUCAUUUUAAUAACUGUUGGAAUUUAAUGCUAGAUACUGAAGUAGACAGAAACAAAAAACUUAACAUUUCAAAUACCCUGAUAUUCCAUUAGAGGGCAGUAAUACCCAAUGUUACAAUACAUUACAAAUCUUUCUAAAGACAUUGCAGUUACAGUAGAUAGAUUGUGAAACACAUGCAGUGUAAAAGGUCAGUGAAAGCUUUUCUAUAGAACAAUUUUUUCCUGGAUAGAGUCUCACCCUGAUGGUUACAGAAAAAACAAAGUAUCAUCAACAACAACAACAAAAAACCUGAGUUAGUUCUCUUCCCCCCCCCCCAAAAUCAGAUUGCACAGAAUUACUGAAUUCUUUUUUUACUGCCAAUUUGUGAGUAUUCUGAUUAUUUUUGAGUUGGUUCUCUUGUACAGAGAGUACUUGUCACCCUAAUAAACAGUGUGGUUUAA